CCUACGGGAGGCAGCAGUGGGGAAUAUUGGGCAAUGGGCGCAAGCCUGACCCAGCAACGCCGCGUGAAGGAAGAGGGCUUUCGGGUUGUAAACUUCUUUUCUCAGGGACGAAGAAAGUGACGGUACCUGAGGUAUAAGCCACGGCUAACUACGUGCCAGCAGCCGCGGUAAUACGUAGGUGGCAAGCGUUAUCCGGAUUUAUUGGGUGUAAAGGGCGGGUAGGCGGGAGCGCAAGUCAGAUGUGAAAUCUCAGGGCUCAACCCUGAGCCUGCAUUUGAAACUGUGUUUCUUGAGUGCUGGAGAGGCAAUCGGAAUUCGGGGUGUAGCGGUGAAAUGCGUAGAUAUACGGAGGAACACCAGUGGCGAAGGCGGAGUGCUGGACAGUAACUGACGCUGAGGCGCGAAAGCGUGGGGAGCAAACAGGAUUAGAUACCCUUGUAGUC
rnacentral:rRNA from 1 species